rnacentral:rRNA from 1 species
AGUGAACGCUGGCGGUAGGCCUAGCACAUGCAAGUCGAACGGCAGCACAGGAGAGCUUGCUCUCUGGGUGGCGAGUGGCGGACGGGUGAGGAAUGCAUCGGAAUCUACUCUUUCGUGGGGGAUAACGUAGGGAAACUUACGCUAAUACCGCAUACGACCUACGGGUGAAAGCCGGGGACCUUCGGGCCUGGCGCGAAUGAAUGAGCCGAUGCCCGAUUAGCUAGUUGGCGGGGUAAGAGCCCACCAAGGCGACGAUCGGUAGCUGGUCUGAGAGGAUGAUCAGCCACACUGGAACUGAGACACGGUCCAGACUCCUACGGGAGGCAGCAGUGGGGAAUAUUGGACAAUGGGCGCAAGCCUGAUCCAGCCAUACCGCGUGGGUGAAGAAGGCCUUCGGGUUGCAAAGCCCUUUUGUUGGGAAAGAAAAGCAGUCGGUUAAUACCCGAUUGUUCUGACGGUACCCAAAGAAUAAGCACCGGCUAACUUCGUGCCAGCCGCCGCGGUAAAAC